GAGACCUCAGGUCAGGCGGGAUUACCCGCUGAGCUUAAGCA
rnacentral:rRNA from 1 species